rnacentral:rRNA from 1 species
UGGGGAAUCUUGCACAAUGGGCGAAAGCCUGAUGCAGCAACGCCGCGUGCGGGAAGAAGGCCCUAGGGUUGUAAACCGCUUUCAGCAGGGAAGAAGAUGACGGUACCUGUAGAAGAAGGUGCGGCCAACUACGUGCCAGCAGCCGCGGUGACACGUAGGCACCAAGCGUUGUCCGGAUUUAUUGGGCGUAAAGAGCUCGUAGGCGGUUCGGUAAGUCGGGUGUGAAAACUCUGGGCUCAACCCAGAGCCGCCACCCGAUACUGCUGUGACUUGAGUUCGGUAGGGGAGCGGGGAAUUCCUGGUGUAGCGGUGAAAUGCGCAGAUAUCAGGAGGAACACCAGUGGCGAAGGCGCCGCUCUGGGCCGAGACUGACGCUGAGGAGCGAAAGCGUGGGUAGCAAACAG